AUACUCAAACCCCAACCCCUGCCCGCCCCAGCCAGGAGGGGAGACGGUUGGGAGUGGGAGGCCUCGGCGCUGUUCUCUGGAUGCAACUGAGAUUGCCGCUAGAGGGUGACGCCUGGGUCGGAAUCCAAGGAUUUGUGAAGAGGUGACCCAAAUUUCAAGACAAUGUUGGAUGCAAACGGAUUUGCCAGCAACUGCAUCACUGUCAAAACCAGCUCUGCCCGUGUCUUCCGAAGAUACCAAGUGAAAUACAUGUAGAUGGGAUUUACAUCUGAAAAACCAAGUGAGAAACUGAAGACCAGAGAGGGUGAGUGGUUUACUCAGUUUGGCACAACUGACCCCAACCUAGCCCUCCAUGAGGACUGAGCGCAUGAGAGAUCCUGAGCCACAGCCGCCCAGCCCUGCUCCUCUCGAAUUUCUGACCUACAGGAACUGCAAGAAGUAAUGAAAGACUGCUGUUUAAAGCCACUGCAUUUUGGCAUGAUUUGUUAUGCAGUCGUAGAUAACCAGAAAACAUCGGAUUUACAUUUUAAGGUAAACUUUUUAUUGAAACAUCACAUACACACAGAGACGUCCACCAAUUGGCUCGAUGAGCUUUCUCAAAGGAAACACAUUCUCUGAGCAGUGUGCACAUCCAGACACAUCAUCUCCAUCCUCCAGAAGCCCCCUCCUGUUAUCGCCACUCACAGGUCACCCGUCUCCUGACUUGCAGCCACAGAGAUAGUCCUGCCUAAUUCUGAACGUGGUACAAACGGAAUCAUACAGAAUGGGCUUGGCUUCUUUCACUCUGGGCUGUGUUUAUGAGCAUCACCCAGAUUGCUGCAUGGAAGCCAUCGUUUGUUCAUUUUCACCACCAUAGAGUAUUCUACUGUUGAUGGGACAUAGGCUAUUUAUUCCUUCUACUGUUGAGGGACGCAUAGUUAUUUCCAGCUGGAGACUGGUAUAUGUCUCUUGGCUACCUUCUGCAUGCAUUUCUGUUGGAGGUUGUUUCAGGUAUCUCUUAACGUAUAACAGACCACCCUCAAAUUGAGUCCUUGAAACAAUUACCAUUUUCUUCUUUCUCAGGAUUUGGUGCAUGGGAUGGGCUCAGUUGGGCAGUUCUUCUGUUCCAUGUGAUGGUACUGGGGCUGCAGUCAUUCAGAGGCUCAACUGGGCUGAACGUGCAAGGUUUCUUGCUCACGUGGCCAUCAGUGGUGCUGGCUGCUGUUGGGAGCUCCACUGGACUUCUGUCCAGAGCUCCUCAGCUCACCUCUCUGUAUCCUUGCCCUGUGGCUCAGGCUUCUAACAAUACAGAGGCUGGAUUCCAAGAGGAGGGAAUUAGAAGCGUUCAGCCUUCUUAAGACCAGGAUUCAGAUGUCCCAGACUGUCACUGUAUUGACCGGAGCAUUUACAGGCCAGCCUAGUAAUUUUUCCAUCUUGGGCAGGAAUGGGUGGCAUAUGCUGGGGGUAGGGGUAGCAUUGUUGGGGAUCAUCUUUGGAGCUGUGUGCCAAGGAGUAAAUUGCUGGGCUGCUUUCUACCUGAGGAAGUCCACUAUGCUUGCUUGUGGAGAGUGGAUUGUGUGCUCAGAGUCCACAAGGAUUUAAGAAUCCGAGCCCUGCUGCCCUUGCCUCAGCCUGUGCAUUAGGGCCCGGUGGUGAGAGCACUGAGCCAUUGUGAAUCAAGGCCCCUCCCUCGACCUGCAUACUAACAGGCCAGAAGAGCUUGCUUGAUUUUGGUCCUAGGCUCCUGCCUGUGGGUUGGAUUCCAGGGGCACUCUCUCCUCCACAAACCAGACGGUGGCAGGUACAUCCCCUCAAUGGAAAUUGCCCACACUUCACCCUAAAGACAGAUCCUGCUGUUCAGCAACAAUGUGAGUGGCCCACACAUUUGUCCAGCAUGAAACCGUUUGCAGAUUCCUUUCCAGUACACAGUCCCGUCAGCCGGUCACUUCACGAUGACAGCUCCUCGAAGCACCUUUUGGUUUGCAGUUGUGUAGCUUAGAAGUAGGAGCCUGCACGGCUUCAGGAAUUCACAGAAGGAGCACACUUUGUGCUUGGAGAAGUUAAUUAUAGGAAUAUCCUGCAACCUGCUGCUCUGAGCCUGUGCACCUGGGGUGUUUCCCUGGAGGUCCUGUGUAUGAGGAUACUCAUCAGCAUGGGGUUUGGGAAGCCUAGCAGUGGAGACAACCUAGGUGGUCCUCUCCAGGGGAGUAGGUAAGAGCCCUACAGCAGUGAAAAGCAUUGAAGGAAAAGUGUGUUCAGCAGUGCUCUUAAUCUGAUCAGAGCAGCCUGAACACAUUCUAAACACAGGGCAUUUAGAACUAGGGUAGAGGCACUAGAGCACCAUAGAUACAAACUCAGAUUCUGAAGGUAAAUGCCCAGGUUCAAAUCCAAGCCCCCUCGCCAAGUGACCAUGACUCCCCCGAGUCACCUGACCUCUGUGUUUACAUCCUCAAAGUUAAGUAGUCAGGAAAGGGGGCUUGGGGCUUGCCACAUGGAUGGUUGCCACUCUCCUUUGCAAAGUGUAGUCCCCAAAAACAGGUGGAAGAGGGAAGGGUCCAAUUAGAAGGCCGAGUACCAGCUGCCAUGAAUAUGCCAGAGCUGCUGGCUAGUGAUAAAUAACUGAAACCCAGGGGGACAGCAGAGCUUGGGUGACCAUACAUUCUAGGAAAGAAAACAUGCCUGUUGUCCUGGCUUUUUAUCCAGCUUAGACAAAGAUGGGCAAAGAAAAUAAUUUAGAAAAUGGUAGAGAUGGGCACAGAGAAAGGGCACGGAGGGAGGCACAAACAGAAGGCCAAGUGAUGGUGGAGGCAGACAUUGGAGAAAUGCCUUUACAAGCCGGGGAAUGCCAAGGAUGCUGGCAACCCUGGGAGUGGGAAGAACCUGGAACACACCCUCCGUCAGAGUCUCCAGAAGGAACUGGCCCUUCAUCACCUUUCGGACUUCUGGCCUCCAGAACUGGGCAAGAAAAUGUUUCUGCUGUUGGAGGCCAUCCAGCUGGUGGUCAUUUGUUAUGGUUGCCACAGAAAACGAAUAUAGAUUUAGACAUCUAAUUUGCAUAUAUAGAUAUGCAUGUGUAUUUGUUAAAUAAAAGAUAAAGCAUGACA
rnacentral:lncRNA from 1 species